rnacentral:snRNA from 1 species
CCACUUUACCUGGCAGGGGAGAGACCGUGGUCACGAAGGGGGUUCUCCCAGAGUGAAGCUUCUUCAUCGCACUCUAGAAUUGCUGAUUCCUGUGAUUUCCUCCAUGUGGGAAACGGUGUUUGUGCUAGAAGAGGCUGCGCUCUUUA